ACGGAAGGCAGCAGUGGGGAAUAUUGCACAAUGGGGGAAACCCUGAUGCAGCAACGCCGCGUGAAGGAAGAAGGUUUUCGGAUCGUAAACUUCUAUCAACAGGGACGAAGAAAGUGACGGUACCUGAAUAAGAAGCCCCGGCUAACUACGUGCCAGCAGCCGCGGUAAAACGUAGGGGGCAAGCGUUAUCCGGAAUUACUGGGUGUAAAGGGUGAGUAGGCGGCAUGGUAAGCCAGAUGUGAAAGCCCGCAGCUUAACUGCGGGACUGCAUUUGGAACUACUAAGCUAGAGUACAGGAGAGGUAAGCGGAAUUCCUAGUGUAGCGGUGAAAUGCGUAGAUAUUAGGAAGAACACCGGUGGCGAAGGCGGCUUACUGGACUGGAAACUGACGCUGAGGCACGAAAGCGUGGGGAGCAAACAGGAUUAGAUACCCUGGUA
rnacentral:rRNA from 1 species